CAUAACAUAUUUGUGGACAAAUAUAAUGAACGUGUGAAUCAAUAGCACCUGCCGUAAAUAUCUUUCCUUCCCCUGCCAGAGCUUCUGUACCUGCUCCGACAACCAUUCCAGGAGUGACACCAUCCAUGACAUCGGGGUUACCUGCCUUACCGAUACCGACAAUAAUACCCUUCUUAAUACCAAUGUCCGCCUUAUAGAUACCGGUAUAAUCAAUGAUCAAUGCAUUUGUAAUCACCAAGUCAAGUACUUCAUGAUCUAAUUUCCCGGUUGCUUGACCCAUACCUUCGCG
rfam:Rhizopus microsporus genome assembly, contig: SCAF121